CACCCAGCGCUGCGGUCGACGUUGAAUUCACCUCUUAAGUUGGUAAUAGUGCUGCAAAUUCAGGAGAUUUCUCCGCGACAUAAGUAGUCUGUUCUUUUCAGCUGCACUGUUGAAUUGGUGCAAUAAAUUAAAGUGAGACAAGUAUAUGUUUUCUCGCUCUAACUUAUUGUACCAAUUCAGCAAUGCAGCUGAAAAGAACAAACCAAAGGUCUCCUGCGCAUGCGUAGAGUAACGUUGCAGCCUGGAUAUUUGAUAUUAUAUCGUUACGUCAUUCUAUGCAUGUCUCCUGAGGUCUUCUGUCGCGAAGAAAAUCUUCCAAGCUAGCACUAGUUGGUAGCACUGUCGAGAACAGAUUGCGAGGGGAAUAACGUAUUUCGUGAAUUUUGUCUCGUGGAUUUCACGAUUUCGGCUCUCUGAAUACGAGUUUCACGUCUGCAUCAUCGCCGAGAGUGCCAAAAACAGCCCGGAAUCGGCGAAUCGAAAACUGCGCUACCUGGCAGCCAUGGUAAGGAGUAUUGAUAAAAUGGACGUGCAACCUUUACUAGGAACAUUCCAGGCGCUUCGUUCUUUCGACGUUAAGGAUGUAAAAAAAGUGAUUUCUUCCCGAAAACUCUAAAUUAUUAACACAUUAAUUAAAACGACUAGCCUUCUAGAAUUCUAUACUGAUGUAUGACGACGAAGAGAUAUAUAUUGGGCAAUUUCAUCGGAGUUCGUCAUUCGCUUCGGCGUCUCCUUAAUCGCGACAACGAAGCAUGAAUCAACAUUGGAAUCGACCGACAGCGCGACGUAAGCCACCCCUAAACGCCGCAAAACGCUAUCCCGCCGAUUUGCAACUAGGAACGGCGCGGCGCACAGCGAUCGCCCAUUAAUUACCAACGCCAAUCAUCUUAUUACAAGCGCAAGCUUGCGCGCACGGCGCGCACAUGGUCGGAAUACCGGGAAUGCAGGCGCAUUAUCCUCGUCUCGAUCGUACGUAACGCUGAUAAACGCACGCUCGAUGGAAACGAGCGCGAGCGCGCGCACGAUCGCCGCCGACCGCGGUAAUAGACAGUUUACAUUCGGCAAUCCUGGCGAACAGCGAAACGUUUACCGUGGCGGUAACCGAUCGUUACAUCCACCGUACGUUUCCCGAUGGCCAGCACGAUCCUCUCUCAUGAGUUACUGAAUCCACAAUCAGCGGGGAGAGAGAAACGAGCGGCGGUGGCGUGAGGGGCUGCGUUCUGCGGCCAACGUCGCGUUGCUGCACGUGCAGCAAAGUCGCUAAAGAUCACGGUCCCGCAUGCGAAAGAGCAGUACAUCGCACUGAAACAUCAUAAAAUCGAGAGAUUAUUCUCUUCGCCUCCUUUUGAGAGAUAUCGAAAUUAAUAAAACUCCAGCAACCGCGCCGACAAUGGUAGCAGGACAGAAGCCCCUUUACAAUAAAAUAAAAAAUGUAAAAAUAGAAAAUGUAACAUCAAAAAAGUUAUCAAAUUCUGAGCAAAAGUUUAGAAUCUCAAGAAAAAAUAUAAAAAACGCGAAUUAUUGAAUUAAUCGAAAAGUUAGAUAUGUUUUUGAGUCCGAAAUAUAACUUUAUUGCAAUCAAUGAUAAGAAACCAUUUCAUCGACCAAAUGCCAUCGUUGUCCUAUAGUCUUUCGAUAACAUCUUAGAAACAUUCGUGCAUCUUGUAUAAAUUAAUGUAUCAUCGAAAAUAAGAAAAGAUCGAGUCGCUUUGACAAUUCUAAUUUAACCAUAUUUAAACAUGCAGUCACACAUGUUUAAACGUGCAAAACAUGUUUAAACGUGCAGUCACACAUUCUAAUUGUCGCCUUUUACGACUUUGUUUUCAAAGAAAAUGUUUUGGAUUUGCGUCAUAUUUUAAACUGAUAUUUAUCGCCUUCAUUAAUAGUAACGAACAGUAAACAUCAUGUUCACACAGUCGAAGUAUCUAACGUUAAAAUCCACCAGUUUCCAUCACCUUCCAGGCGACCGUCUGAUUCUUCGAAAGCUCCUAAGAUAUCCACAGAUUUCUUUUUAAUGCAAUAUUCGAAACGCUUUUAAAUUAGUCUGUCUCACAACACUCACUACAGCACGCAUCCCCCAGCACAGCAUCCUCGAUUAUAUCCAAGCACAACACGAGAUCGCGCGCACUUGAGGAUUUCUUUCUGAAAAUCGGAACCAUCGAAAUCGACGACAGCGGUCGCGAUAGCUAUUGUAACCGAGAACUCGCUCGCUCACUCGCUCGUUCGAGUUUUUGGCGGUUUACCCUCGACCGAUGGGGCGCA